UACAGAGGGCGCGAGCGUUGUCCGGAAUCACUGGGCGUAAAGGGCGCGUAGGUGGCCACUAUAAGGCCGCGGUGAAAGUUCGGGGCUCAACCCUGAAUCUGCCGCGGCGACUGUAGGGCUUGGGCACCGUAGAGGCAGAUGGAAUUCCGGGUGUAGCGGUGAAAUGCGUAGAUAUCUGGAGGAACACCGGUGGCGAAGGCGGCGUUCUGGACUGCAACUGACACUGAGAAACGAAAGCCAGGGGAGCAAACGGG
rnacentral:rRNA from 1 species